rnacentral:rRNA from 1 species
UACGAGUGCCCCAAGCGUUAUCCGGAAUCAUUGGGCGUAAAGGGUGUGUAGGUGGCGAUGUUAGUCUUCUGUUAAAACCCCGGGCUUAACCCGGGAUCUGCAGGGGAAACGGCAUUGCUCGAGGAUGCGAGGGGUGAAUGGAACUCAUGGAGUAGGGGUGAAAUCCGUUGAUAUCAUGGGGAACACCAAAAGCGAAGGCAAUUCACUGGCGCAUUCCUGACACUGAAACACGAAAGCGUGGGUAGCGAACGGG